AGCCCUGGUGGGGAAUUUAAGCUUCCAUGCAGUGGUGGACGGCAGCAGCGAAGAAGGAUGAAGACGGCAUGGUUGGUGUCUUCAGUCGGAGAAGGAAGCGUGAUGAGGCAAUGGUAGAAAAAGCUCUGUUUCACCCUCCCCUCCUUCGUUCCAUUUCAUUUUUUUCUUUGCAUGGAAAAUCUUCCCAUAAUACCCAAACUUCUCUCCCUCCUCUUAUUUCUGUGGGAUUUCUCCUCCGAAGAGAUGCCUUCAUGGGGUCCGUCUCCUCCCCUUUUAUAGCCGCAAGCUCCCCCUGUUUCCCUCACCUGGAUAGGUUCUUCCGAGUGGGAAGAUAAGGUCAAGGAACGGCUUGUUCCGUGGACGUGAUCGAGAUGAGGAGAUGACUGAUCCGGAUGUGAAAGUCGGUGAGCUGGGAGCUGGAAUUUGUUGGCUGAAGUCGGCUUGAACCUUGGAGCUCGGAUGGCGAGGACAUGGAGCAGGGAUCUCGGACGGCCGUUAGCUUCCAGACGUUGUGAAGAUGAGCUGGGACGUUGUGAGGCUUGAUUCUGUUCAUGGGAGACCUGUGGAAACUUUGCUGGGAUUUGAGUUUAUCCCGUGAGAGGAUGCUCUGUUCCGUGAAUGUAGCAGGAGAGAAGAAGAUGCUGGGAUAAGGAUGAACUCGGGACAAGAUGAGAGCUGGGAGUUUGGAUUCGGCUGGGAUUGGUUCCGAAACAGAGGAAGAAUAUGUGUGGUUGCCGUGAAGCUCGCAAGGAUGAAGCUCAUCCGGUUGAGAUGCGGCUGGGGAAAUCUAGGAGGUGGGUCGAACGGCUGGGAGUAUGAACAGAGGAGUUUGUUCGUGGAUGUGGCUUGGAUUGAUGAAGACUCGGACUCUGUUCCGAAGCAACAGGGAAUACGUGGGUGGCUGAAGUUAUCGUGAACGCUGGGAGCUAGGGAGUUUGAAGUUUAUCCGUGGAUAACAGAAGGCUGGAUGCAUUGGCUGGUUAUGGAUGCAGGGGAGAUCCGUGGAUGGAACGAGAGGAAAUCUAGGAGUUCGGAAAAACAGUGACGUGGAUGGGAGCUUGGUCGUGGGGAGCAUGGAGUUUGGAUCAAUCCGGAAGAGGUUUGGAUGGAAGACGCGUACGGUUGCUGGAAGCUGGAAUUCUGUUCCGAAGCAAGGAAGAAUGCGGAGGAAAUCUGGGAAGAAUCCGGGUGA
rnacentral:lncRNA from 1 species